AUUGAACGCUGGCGGCAUGCCUUACACAUGCAAGUCGAACGGCAGCGGACCUUCGGGUGCCGGCGAGUGGCGAACGGGUGAGUAAUAUAUCGGAACGUACCUUUCAGUGGGGGAUAACGUAGCGAAAGUUACGCUAAUACCGCAUAUUCUGUGAGCAGGAAAGCAGGGGAUUGCAAGACCUUGCGCUGAUUGAGCGGCCGAUAUCAGAUUAGCUAGUUGGUGAGGUAAAGGCUCACCAAGGCGACGAUCUGUAGCGGGUCUGAGAGGAUGAUCCGCCACACUGGAACUGAGACACGGUCCAGACUCCUACGGGAGGCAGCAGUGGGGAAUUUUGGACAAUGGGCGCAAGCCUGAUCCAGCCAUGCCGCGUGAGUGAAGAAGGCCUC
rnacentral:rRNA from 1 species